UACAGAGGGUGCAAGCGUUAAUCGGAAUUACUGGGCGUAAAGCGUGCGUAGACGGUCAUGUAAGUCGGGUGUGAAAGCCCCGGGCUCAACCUGGGAAUUGCAUUCGAGACUGCGUGGCUAGGGUGCGGAAGAGGGAAGCGGAAUUUCCGGUGUAGCGGUGAAAUGCGUAGAUAUGGGGAGGAACACCGGUGGCGAAGGCGGCCACCUGGACGGUAACUGACGCUGAGACGCGAAAGCGUGGGGAGCAAACAGG
rnacentral:rRNA from 1 species